rnacentral:lncRNA from 1 species
UGGGUAUGGUGCAUUCAAGUUUGUUCAUAUGAAAAUUUAUAAUAAAUUGACUAUAUGAACAUGUAAGGGAUAGAAGGAAUAAAUCCAUUGAUAAUUCCCUUUGCAUAUCAAGCUCGAGCUUUCCAAGCUCCUUAAUAUCCUUGAUCACUAUCAUACAAUGCUCAUGGAUUGACUGCCCUUUGUGCAUCUUCAAAUUGAAGAG